rnacentral:sRNA from 1 species
UUGGCAGGUCGGACCAAU